CCAUAAUAAUAAUAAUUUUUGUUAAUAUCACACCAUUUGGUUAUUUUCAAGUAUUUUAUUUAAGUUUGAUAAGUUACAGAAUUAUGUUAAUUAGACAUGGUGAGGAGAUAGUUAAAAGGACUGUCAAAAAGAGGUGCCGUCAUCUCGUCAUCUGGUGUUCCGACUUGAUCAUCGAUGUGAAGUUUGUUUUAAUGUUUUAUUGGAUGUUGUGCUCGACGAACUCUUGUUUUGGUGUUGGGCAGUGGUCGCUUGAAGAACCUUCUGGCUGGAGUUGGGACCUGUGUCAUAUAGACUGUUGGCCGAUGGUGUUUGUAACUAGGCGAGACUUUGUUUUUUCAUUACUAUUGUAAGUAUGUUUGAUUUACCAGUUGUUUUUAUAGUUUUUUUGGCUAAUAAAAAUUUACCAUGGAGCACUGUUUUGAAGCUAUUUUGCAUUGGCUGAGCCAUCACGAAGU
rnacentral:lncRNA from 1 species